rnacentral:lncRNA from 1 species
GCCUGACAAUGAGAGGUAGUGGAUGUUGUGUGAAAUUAUACCAUGCCUUCAAUGUUCAUGUUUAUUGUUGAUUGGGACAAGAAAAUUAUAGCAACCAGUCCAAAACUCGGUGUUUGCCAUGCUGGUAGCGAUGGUGGUGCCAAGACUAUGGCAACAUUGUCUUUCUUCAUCAGGCUAGAGUUUAAUCUGAACUUUCCCUUCUUGAUAUAUGUCUGUGUUCAAACUUCCUAAGUGGGUACUGC